rnacentral:rRNA from 1 species
UACGUAGGGGGCAAGCGUUGUCCGGAAUCAUUGGGCGUAAAGAGCGCGUGGGCGGCCCGAUAAGUCCGCUGUGAAAGUCAAGGGCUCAACCCUUGAAUGCCGGUGGAUACUGUCGGGCUAGAGUCCGGAAGAGGAGAGUGGAAUUCCUGGUGUAGCGGUGAAAUGCGCAGAUAUCAGGAAGAACACCCGUGGCGAAGGCGGGUCUCUGGACAGUUCCUGACGCUGAGGCACGAAGGUCGGGGGGAGCAAACGGG